rnacentral:rRNA from 1 species
CUUUCUUUGCUGGCGACCGGCGCACGGGUGAGUAACACGUAUCCAACCUGCCCUUUACUCGGGGAUAGCCUUCCGAAAGAAAGAUUAAUACCCGAUAGUAUAAUGAUUCCGCAUGGUUUCAUUAUUAAAGGAUUCCGGUAAAGGAUGGGGAUGCGUUCCAUUAGGUUGUUGGUGAGGUAACGGCUCACCAAGCCUUCGAUGGAUAGGGGUUCUGAGAGGAAGGUCCCCCACAUUGGAACUGAGACACGGUCCAA